UACGUAGGGGGCAAGCGUUGUCCGGAUUUAUUGGCGUAAAGAGCGUGUAGGCGGCCUUACAGGUCAGCUGUGAAAACUCGAGGCUCAACCUCGAGACGUCGGUUGAAACCGUAAGGCUAGAGUCCGGAAGAGGAGAGUGGAAUUCCCGGUGUAGCGGUGAAAUGCGCAGAUAUCGGGAAGAACACCCGUGGCGAAGGCGGCUCUCUGGGACGGUACUGACGCUGAGA
rnacentral:rRNA from 1 species